rnacentral:lncRNA from 10 species
CCCUUUCCUCUCAGAUCCUCGUGGAGUCUCCCUGAGGUCCAAGAACACCUUCCAAUUCCAGCUCCAUCGUACCUGGAGUCCUCCCACCCCAGCAUUCAGGAUGAAAUAGAGAGUGGUCCCACUAGCCCUGCCAGAAACCCACAAAAACACUGGUGACUGGGCAGUCACAACCAACUCCCCUCUCUCUGUGACAGCAACACUCAGCAGACAUUCAUGGCACCCGCUGGACUGCAGCAUGAUGGAAAACCUGAGCACUCAUAUGACAAACAAGACGAGGUCCACUCCAGCCUCGCAGAAGUGAGUGGUAAUAAAGGAAGCUGCAAGAGUAUACGGUAAAUUCCAACCAACAUCAGGGGCCUUGAGGAUGGACAGGACAACUCUCCACUUUGGCAGGAAGGCAAAACAUGACUGGCAAGACCCUUUCAUCUCCAGCAGCCACAGAGCAGCCUGAGAUUGUCCAGAAGCCCAGAAGCUGCUCUGUCCAGGGACCUGCCCCGUCAUCCUCCCAGGCGAAGUGAAGGCCAAAUAGCCCAAGAGACGGCCAUGUAGUCCAGCUGCCGACCUCUUGUUCCAUCUGGCCUGACUGCUGACUCUGAGCAUGUGGUCCAGAACCUCCCAGCCUGCCCCCUGUUGAGUGAAGAGUUUGGGCCUAGUCCCUUCUCUCCAUUGUCCUCACACAGCUUCUAAAUUCCUGCCACGGAGUUGCAGGGGCCAAUCUCAAGCUACUGCUAAGACAGAUGAGACCCUUGCUCCCUUGCCACCUGCAGGGUUCCCGCUGAACCUUGCUGCUUUGUCUCAGAGGAUCCUGGGUCUGCACACGCGCAAACAGCAGCUGGACUUCGGCAGCUUCCAUUAUGAAGGGAGGAGCCACGAAGAGGGAAGGAGGGGGCAGCUUUGGUUCCUACAUUCCAGAAAACAUCAAAAACACAUGCCUGAUGCACAUGACUUCAUCCAUCCUCUCUCCACCCACAGGAGAAGGGUUCCUAACACCAGCCACACUGAACAGAUGAGGGAACUGAGGCACAGACUGCUCACAGGGAGCUUGGAAGGCCCAAGAUUUCCUGCAGGCAAUCUGGCACCGGAGUCUCUGCUCUGAACCAUGCUGCCUGCUGGCAUCAGGUGAGCAUGGCACUCAUUGACUUACUGUUCAAACCUAAGGUGCUUCAGUGUGAAUUCAUUAAUCUCUCCAUUCAUAAAAAAGUCAAAACAAAUGAAUAAAAACAUUUAUCAAGUACCUGAC